GGGCAUUGGGGGUAUUGGUCAGACAGGUGUUGUUGGUGAGACGAAGCUUGGGCAUCAGGCAGAAUGUUGGCAUCUGCAUGAGUGGAACAGAGGAGCCUCAGUUCUGGUUCUCUUUCCUGAGACGACAACCACAGGAUGAGGCUUGAGAGGAGGUCUCAGGAGAGAAAAUGUUCCAUGACUUUCACACCUUCAACCUCAAGCUCUUGAAUCAUUGGGACAGUUGCUUGGGUGCUGAAAGG